rnacentral:tRNA from 1 species
AUCGGGUUAGGAUGAUGCUUAUAGGUGGGAGAGAAGAGGACUGUAAAUCCUCCGGCUCUGCCUUCGAAGGUUCAAAUCCUUCACCCGCCACCA